GCUUGUCUCAAAGAUUAAGCCAUGCAUGUCUAAGUAUAAAUACCUUAUACUGUGAAACUGCGUAUGGCUCAUUAAAUCAGUUAUAGUUUAUUUGAUGAUACCUCACUACAUGGAUAACCGUAGUAAUUCUAGAGCUAAUACAUGCGUCAACACCCGACUUCUGGAAGGGUGGUAUUUAUUAGAUAAAAAACCAACCCGGGCAACCGGUUUUUUGGUGAUUCAUAAUAACUUGUUCGGAGCUCAUGGCCUUGUGCCGGAGCCAGGUCAUUCAAAUUUCUGCCCUAUCAGCUUUCGAUGGUAGUGUAGUGGACUACCAUGGCUUUAACGGGUGACGGAGAAUUAGGGUUCGAUUCCGGAGAGGGAGCCUGAGAAACGGCUACCACAUCCAAGGAAGGCAGCAGG
rnacentral:rRNA from 1 species